AGUUUGAUCCUGGCUCAGGAUGAACGCUAGCGACAGGCUUAACACAUGCAAGUCGAGGGGCAGCACGGGUGUAGCAAUACACCUGGUGGCGACCGGCGCACGGGUGAGUAACGCGUAUGCAACUUACCCAUCAGCGGAGGAUAGCCCGGCGAAAGUCGGAUUAAUACUCCAUAAAACAGGGGUCCCGCAUGGGGCUAUUUGUUAAAGACUUGAUUGCUGAUGGAUAGGCAUGCGUUCCAUUAGGCAGUUGGCGGGGUAACGGCCCACCAAACCGACGAUGGAUAGGGGUUCUGAGAGGAAGGUCCCCCACACUGGUACUGAGACACGGACCAGACUCCUACGGGAGGCAGCAGUGAGGAAUAUUGGUCAAUGGGCGAGAGCCUGAACCAGCCAAGUCGCGUGAAGGAUGAAGGAUCUAUGGUUUGUAAACUUCUUUUAUAAGGGGGUAAAGUCGGGCAUUGAUGCCCGUUUGCAAGUACCUUAUGAAUAAGCAUCGGCUAACUCCGUGCC
rnacentral:rRNA from 1 species